rnacentral:rRNA from 1 species
UACGGGAGGCAGCAGUGGGGAAUAUUGCACAAUGGGCGGAAGCCUGAUGCAGCGACGCCGCGUGAGGGAUGACGGCCUUCGGGUUGUAAACCUCUUUCAGCAGGGACGAAGCGCAAGUGACGGUACCUGCAGAAGAAGCGCCGGCCAACUACGUGCCAGCAGCCGCGGUAAGACGUAGGGCGCGAGCGUUGUCCGGAUUUAUUGGGCGUAAAGAGCUCGUAGGCGGCUUGUCGCGUCGACUGUGAAAACCCGCGGCUCAACUGCGGGCUUGCAGCCGAUACGGGCAGGCUGGAGUUCGGUAGGGGAGACUGGAAUUCCUGGUGUAGCGGUGAAAUGCGCAGAUAUCAGGAGGAACACCGGUGGCGAAGGCGGGUCUCUGGGCCGAUACUGACGCUGAGGAGCGAAAGCGUGGGGAGCGAACAGGAUUAGAUACCCUGGUAG